rnacentral:rRNA from 1 species
GAUGAACGCUGGCGGCGUGCUUAACACAUGCAAGUUGAACGCAGUGGCGGAUGGGAGAGUAACACGUGAGGAACCUGCCUUUCACAGGGGAAUAACACUGGGAAACCAGUGCUAAUACCGCAUAGUGAAAGAUUGCCUCGCGCAUGAUGAGCUAGUAGGUGAGGUAACGGCUCACCUAGGUGAUGAUCAGUAGCCGGACUGCCGGUUGAUCGGCCGCAUUGGGACUGGGACACGGCCGUGGUGCCUACGCGAGGGAGCAGUAGGGACUAUUAGGCAAUGGCGCGAGCCUGACCCAGCAACGCGGCGUGAAAGAAGCCGGUCUUCGGAUUGUACACUUCUUUACACAGGGGAGCGGUACCUGUAGAGUAAGCCACGGCUAACUACGUGCCAGCAGCCGCGGUAAUAC